CUGCUGUUAUAAUAGCAAAGCAGAGCACACGUCUUCAGGUUUCUAUUACGGCAGGAACUGCACCUUGCCGUUCCCUCAACUUUCAGCAGCAAGUUUCAGCAUACAAGUUUCAGCAUUCCCUACAGCAUUACGGCAGGAACUGCACCUUGCCGGUUCCCUGAACUUUCAGCAGCAAGUUUCAGCAUACACUGCUCCUACAUUUCAGCCAGCUAUCCAAGCAGCGACGAUGCGGGGGGAGGUGGCCGCAACCACAAGCAGAGAGGAGCUCGAUGAGGCACGCUGCAGGGAGGUCUCCCUGGGCGCGGAGAGGAGCUUGACUAGGCGCUGGCAGGGAGAUCUCUGUGGCGGCUAGGAGCUGGCCGUGAAGGUCUCUGCGUGGAAGGAAAGGCUGGGAACUGGGAGCUGGCGGCGGCGCAGCGGGGCGGCGGGGCCGCUGGAGCUAGUGGCGGGGCUGCCUGGCGUCGAGCAGUUGGCCGAGGAGGCCUGGCAGCGGGGUGGCACGGCGGCGAUCAGCUGGUGGCGGGUGGCCUGCGACGACGUAGACGGGAUGGGGAUCGAUUAGAAAUGAAGAUAGGGUUGUGGGCCCCACCUGUAGGUGUUCAAAAAAAAGCGGGCCGUGCUGUCGCAAAACGGCAAAAGCUAUGGAGUCGGUGUGCGGGUGCUUUUUCUGAGGUCUGAGCACGUGGAAUGAGUUAUGGACAAAACUGAGUAAGAAGAAAAAUAGGAUGGGAUAAGGUCAUCCCUAAUUUAAGGGUAGGGUCAUCUUUAAGAGUCAUUACUGUUUUUGUUUGGG
rnacentral:misc_RNA from 1 species